GGCAGAUGGUUUCAAAAGCCAGGAGGAGGAGGAAUAAAAAUUGUACUUCAAUGUUGUUAUGACUUUAAAGCAGAUAGAAAGUGGAAGUACAACAGUUCUCUCCUGAACCAAAGCAAAUAUUUCCAGUCAGCAUCCUUUGAGUGGACUAUAGUACUAUAUUGGGGGCUCGUAAAAUUAUCUGUUAUGAAAGAAGAUGUGCUACUGUGAAAAAAAUACGAAGCAGUUAAGAUUGCCAGCAAAUAAAGUAAGGGAGGGGAACGUCCAUCCUUAAGUGUGGAAGUUAGGAUUAAAUCCAGUUUUUUGAAUGGGGUGAGUUUUAAUGUUCAGCAGCCUUUCCAGUUCAGCAUUUCUAAUUACAGUUCUUUCUCAUGUCAGAAAGCAAGGGGGAGAUUUUUGUCAGCCACUACCUGAAACAAUUAAGAGUGAUUACAACUUACCUUAUUUCAUUAUAUUAAUUGAUAAGCUUGAAAUUCAUGUAGCUCUUUUCUAACAAGUAACGUUCUAAUCACAAAGCUGAAUUUAUUGCUGAACCAUUUUGUGCUAAUGUUUUUCUUUAUCCUUAAUGUAUUAUGCAUUUAAAGUACAAGUGUAUUUUUGCCAUCUUUUUGUGGGGCUAAAAAGCCUAAUCUCAGAACCUAAGCUUUCUUGUUCUAAUAUUUUUUCAUAUUAUAUGCUAGCUUGAGGGCUAGGCCUCAAAGUGGCUUGCAAUAUAAAAGGGGGAAAAAACAAAUUAAAAACGCCAUUAAAACAAAAAUAAUGUAAAUAACCCUCAACUGCACUUGCUACAUUCUAAACUGUGUUCCAUCUCAGUUGAUAAAACUGCACAGCAUUCCAAAUGAGGCUUGGGAAUUGAAGUUCUGUGUUAUUAGUGAAAUUUCCAUCUUUACUACAUUCAAAUAUAGGACAUCAAGCAUAUAUAGAUCCUCCUUACCCUGCAGUUGUGAUACAGAUGGUUGGAAAACCACUUCUUGUGAGGAGCAUGUGGCUCAACUGCAGCCGGUAAUUUUUAUAUUCAAAUAAUAGAAUUUUACAGAAAAGGAAUCUAAAGGACUUUGGAGAAAGCUAUGAGCAAGUGAUACAGCUAUCUAUAUGGCAACAGUUGCCAGGUGAGAUGUCUUAAUCCAGCCAAAACAAGGCACAACAAAAUCCCCUUGAUUUCAGUAUUAAACCCAUGCUUCUCAUUGAUUCCAGUGUGGGAAAGUUAUUGACAUGCCAAUAUUACUUAAAUAGUACCGUUUAUAUAGAAGGUAAAAGAGCCCUGAGUGAUGCUUUAUAGAACAAGGGUGGAGUAUAAAAGUGCAUUAAAUAAAUAAACACGCACAAUUGCUGUUUGUAUACAUCCACAUAAUAUGAUUUCUAAUUUCUGGUAGAUAAACAUUUAAAAUAUAUAUAUGUCAUAAGUGCUAAUAACAACCAUGAUGUUCAUUCAGAAAGUCAGUGCUUUAUUUCAUUCAUUCUUUUAUUAACUAUGGAAACAGAUUCUCCUUAAUUCUUCUACUUUAGAGACUAAGGAAGGGGCUUGGCUCAGAACCGGCUACAGCAGUAAUGGCUUUAGGCCUGCUUGGUCCUUCUAGAGUGAUUCAGUUUCCAUAGAUGUUUCCACCUCGGUGAGUUAGUUUAAAUUAUCCCAGAAUGUGUGCUUAAGCUCUUCAGCGGCUCUUUUAAGUGUUCUGCGUCUUGUUGAUGACAGCAAGAGUCAUCACUUCUGAACCAGAGCCUUGAUGUUGCUUACUUUGCCUCAAGGAGAAGCCUUUGAACCUAGUUUGUAUCUCCCAAUACCUGCUCAUCAUCUGGAAGAGCUGAGUAAGGCUGUGGUAGUACAGUAAUGGCGACUAAGCAUCUGACAGACACCUUCAUGAAAGCAGGCUAUAAUCCUAUAGCAGGCAGUCUUCAAGAAAAGGGAGUUCCUGGUGAAGACUAGUAGGAUUGUAGAAAGGCUUACCGGUAAUUCUAAUAGCCUGUGGGUGGGACUCAUUAGACUGCUCUGUAAUAAAUUCUAAUUCAAGUGAUCUUGGGAACCCUGGCUUCUCACUAGCUGCUGUUCAUUUGCCUUUUUGCUAGGAGACAAGUCUAACUUGACUUCCACAACAGUGCGCAUUGCCAUGGUACGCUUCCAUACCGGCAAAUCUGCAUGCAGUGUAAGUUGGAAGGGACAGCCUCAACCAGUUUCUGCUACAACUUGCACAGAAAUUAUGAAAAUUGUCCCUGUUGAAUUUCUGCUCAACAUAUAGCAGCUAGACACAGCCUCAUACUGGGAUUGGGGGUGGGGGAGGAACACAUGGUGUAUUUUGUCAGGGAUAGAGAGGGUGGGGGCUUCCCCUAUGGGAUGCUCCUUUAGUUGUUUGGAACUAUGGGCUCUGCUGGCAGUUUGAUUUGGAGAUUUUAUUAGGUCCCCCUCCCACCUGAAGUACAUAUAAUUGUGAUAACUGCAUAUUCUUCCCUCAUCUGUCCCUGCCUCUGUUCUUGGCCUUUUUUUAGAUUGAAGGCUGCUUGGGAUAAGGGCAUGUCAGACCUGUACUUUAUAACAUGCCAUACACAUAGAUGGUGCUGUGUGAAAAACAACUGCAGUAUUGUAAGUGAUUGUGCGGAGGGUCCUUACUUGAAACUGAUGACCUUCUAAGCUUCCGUUCCCAGCAUUUCCUUGGUGAUCUUUUAAGGAAGAAGAUUCUACAACUUGCCUAAGCAGCUGGUUCCAUUGCUGAUCAGCCCUUUCCUCUUGGCAGUUUUCCUAUAAUUUUAAAUCUGGUCGUCCCCCCCCCUUUUUUUUUUUGUUUUAUAACCCCUUUUGUGUCUGCUAUUUUUGAGAGGGUCAACAGCAUCCCUUAAUCUUCUGUGAGCUGAACACACUCAGCUCCUUUAGCUUCUCCUUGUAUUCAUAAGUCUCAUAUUCUUUUGAACUGUGGUACUCUGUUUUAAAAACCUCUUUCUGACACUGCUGCACAGAAUAGUAUUAUGGGUUCUGCUAAUACAGGUUGGAUUGGCCUAGCUGUACAGCUUUGCACAGGCUUGUCGGACUGAACCCUCCCCCUCUCACACAGUGACGCAUUAAGAAUCUGCAAGUCUUGUCAUACCACAUUUCAAGAGACCCCCUUGGAGAGUAAUGAUGUAACUUUGUUAUGAAAUUAACUUAAAAUUAUGUUUGAGUCACACCGUUGCAGAGGGAAACCAAUGAACAGGGAGUGACUUGUUGAGCUUCAGUCAACAAUUUGGGCUUUUGGCUGCAAGAAGCUAAUGGUUAGCAUUGAAGAAGGCUGCCAUGUUUCCAGGCUUGUAAGUCUGCCACCCCCACCCCCAAAAAGCAGAUGUGGUCAUGAGUAAAGAAUAGGGCUAAACACUAGGCAGGAGAUCUGGAUCCAUCGUCUGCUUCUGCCAUAGUUUCUCACUGAGCAAAUCAUUUUUGAUCCCAGUUCCAAUUUUUUAAAAUGGAGUACAGCAGUGACCUACCUCACAGGGUUGUUGUGAGGGCGCAAAUAAAGAUUGUAACACACUUUGCUAAUUAAAAGUGCCACAGACGUGAUUGGUGAUGGUGUCUACUUGGGUAAUAGUCCAGUUAAUGGUUAGUAGUCCAGUUGCGUAACAUUAAUUUGUCUGUUCUACAGAUUUUUUAACUAUUGGCUGUGUUGCAUGUUAAACAGCUGCCCACAAAAUGAAAUAUAAUACUUGAUCAAAAAUAGAAAUCAAAGUAAUGUACAUUUGACAAAGAUAAGAGCAUGGGUAGCAUUCCCAUCACUCAAAAAGGUGUUAUUUACGCCUCAAAAACAUUUGACAGAAGCACAGAUAUCUCUGUGACUUGCAAAACUAAAACUAAAACUAAAAACAUAGCUAGCUGUGUGUAUGGUAUGGUUAUAUCCACAAAGACGGCUGUAUUUGCAUAGAAUACAUUGGUCUGCGAAGCAGCUAUGCCCUAUGGACCACUCAAGUUCUUUUGCAGCCUUCACAAAAAAAGAAAGAAACCCCACCAAAGCAGACCUUUCAGGGCCAUAAUUUUUCCCAAAUUACAAAAGAAUACUCCUUAACCUUGCCUACCUUGAUACCUGCCACUUGUAAUCCAUCUAAGCUUACUUGUGCCUAAAUCUUAGAAGGAGGAAUGGAAUGUGAUUUUGUUGUUGUGACUUAUGUUUCGAAGGGAAAGCCACAAUUUUUGUUGAAUUUAAUCAUUGUUUCAAACCAUUUGAGCUCUGCAAUUUACUUCAGUGCUAGUAUCUGCUGUCAAUAUAGGUAAACCAAAAUGUUCAAUACAGUGGAUGUUUUAUGUUGAGGCAUAUUUAUGUAUGUAAAUAAUAGUUCCAUGCACCACUGGUCUUCAGCUGGUGCAUCAGGGCCUGAUCCAAGGUGGGUCGCAACAGGAGCUGUGCCACCAUGCAAAUAUUAAGGUAAGAGAGUAAGAAAUGAAUCCCUAAAUGCAUGUUUGAGUUAAAAGUGGGCCCUGGGUCUGCAAAAGUUGAAUGUCUGCCAUACAGCAUGACCUGGUAGCAGAUUUCAGACCGCUUACUAUUUCCUUGGCAGAAGGACAAAACCUCAUUGUUUGUGACCCAUUUCUUCUCCUUUGUGGGAAUAUGUAGGACCCAGACAAAAAAGAGGGGGAUUGUCUACACAUCAUUACACCAGCAGGUGUCUGCAUUCAAAGGUUGCUAGUGGAUCUGGGACCAGCUACCAGCUGUCAGCGGAUAAGGCAGCCAAGGACUGGGCCUCUUACAGUGUGUAAACUUUUUAGAUUGGUGGGGGAGGGUAAGAAAAUAUGGCAGAAGCUUGUAAUGUUAUGCAUAAUGUUGGAUGAGCUUUACUGCCUUUCUGUCAACACCAGAAAUUGGGAUUCCCAAGUGAACUUUGCUGGGGAGUAGAUUGAAGAUUUUUUUAAAAAGGAGCACUUCAUCCAGUGCAUACUUAAAAGGUAUGGCAUUCACUGCUCCAAGGCAGUGAUGGUUGCUACAUUAGAUGGCUGGAGAAUAGGUUUGACAGUGGUGCCUUGGUCUUCACAAAACAUUAUGCCACUAAAUGCUGUUAGGUUAACAGCAGCAAAGGGCUGUCACUCUCCUGUCCUCAGUCUUGCUUAGAGGCAGGUGGUUUAAUAUGGUGUGAAGCAGAAUGUUCGAUGAGAUGGGUGAUUGGUCUGAUUCAAUUGGGCUAUUGCAUUGUUAAAGAGAUUGUGGUGCAGAUUUACCUGUGGGCUGAAGGAGGUGGUCAGGGUGCCCUGUGGCUGUAUAGCAGGAGGAGAGGUGCUGUGGGAUGCAGAGAGAAAAAGGCUAACAUAAAAGUUUAAAAGAAACCAGUAAAAAGGGAGAGAGGCAUAUUUUUCUGCAAUUAGCACACCACUUGAACCCUCAUCCCAAAGCCCUCUUGUAAAUAUGCAAAUCUCCACACAAAAUUUAGCAGUUUAAUUGUACCUUUAAAAAAAUUAUUGCAGAAAAAAACUGUCAUGAGCUACAACUCACUUCGUCAGAUAGUACCAAGUGUUAUCUUAAAUGGGUGGAGAUGUACCUCUGUGCAGAAACACACAACAGUCAGAGGGCUCAGUAAUACAAGAGAAAGUUGUGCUACAUUAUGCUGCAGAGCACAAAUAAUCAGGCAAAAGGAUGAAAGAUAUAAUCAGCUAGGGCGUGGCGCAUUCCCAACUGCUAAUAAAGUAUGGCAGCUUUCAUGUUACAGGAGUCUGUCUGGCCGUUGUGUAAGAGACUUUAUAAAGUUACCAUACUUUGGAACAAAAAAGAUUUCAAAGGGAGGCUCCAGAAUGAUGUUGCCGAGUUGGAAUUCAUUUUCAGAUCUGACACCCUAACUUACGUCUCAGUAUAGUUAGGGAGUGCCUCUCUCACAGCUGUCCCACUUUCGGUGUUCCUGUUCACCAUCUUGUUUUUGGCAGUUAAUAUUUGGGAAAGUUUGCACCUACUCUGCUAGGAUUGCAUUGCAUUAUAAUGCUUCCUCCUCUUUUACAUGUGAACCAAGGAAGCAGUUUUGUGCAUUCUACAAAGUGGGCUCUGGCCCAUGAAACUUUAUGACACAAUAACUAUUAAGUCUUUUAAAGUGCCACUAUCCUUUUUUGUUAAUGUAUGAUUUACGCAUUAUUGGUGUGAUGCAUUUCUAUGUACAAAGAAAUAUUGCACACCUUCCUGGUGCUACUAGUAGUUGAUGGGUGUUGUCUCAUUUCAAAACUGUUCCCGUGCAAUGCUUUGGGGGUUGGUAGGAUUGCCAUACGUCCAGAAUUUCCCAGACAUACCGGAAUACCGCAUUUUCCAGCAGCAAAUGGCCAAAUGUCCAGGAAAAUCCAAACAUAUGGCAGCCCAUGUUGGCAGUGCACAUUUUCCCUUAAAACUAAAAAAAGCUCAACAAUUUUUCAAUCUGGAUUUUCACUGUUUGAAAUAGUGGCAACCCUAUGGUUAGUCCUACUUGUAUCGUCUUGCGGCUGACAUGACUUUGUUCCUCUCAGGUGUGUACUCCUGUGCUGCCUAUUUACGUUGUUCUGAAGAAUAUAGAAGCAGAUUGUUCACACCCGUUUCUGUUACCUUCCACGAUUCCCAUUGAUGCUGCCCAGUUCAGCCUGGAUUUUUUUCUCAAUACUAAAAUGCUGCCUGUGGAGCUACUUGCAUGGGAACACCCACCUGACACAUAGGAUGAUCUGGGGUGGGGAAUCUUUGGUCCUCCAGAUGUUCUUGAACUACAAUGCCCAUCAACUCCAGCGAAAAUGGCCAAUGGGUGUUGAAGUUCUGUAACAUUCCGGGGGGGGGGGUAGGCUGAAGGCAUGUUUCUCUUCCCUGAAACAUAUCCCCAGGGCUGCAGAGGAGAUGACAGUAUUUUUCUGAUGGUUCUGGGUUGGGAACAGAAAGUAUUCCUUACUUGUUCUUCAGGAUGCAGAAAUCACCAGUUACUUAGAGGAACAGGACUAGCCAGUUUUGCCCCACCUUUCCUACUAGCAAUGGCUUUUAAUUUAGAUGCAUGGGAUAAUUGGGGGUAGAGAGGAGUUGGGAGUGGAGUAGACUUUCAUCCUUUCCCUUUAUUAUCAUCAGCUUUCUUUUGUAAGCACAUGGAAGAGCAGCAAGCAAAGCAUUAUUAUAUGAUCCCCAUUUACUGCCUCAGCUCAGUUUUGCUCUCUGUAGCAAAAGUGAGAAGAGGAUGGUGAUGGAAUAAACAGCUCAUACUGUUCUUCUGAAAGUACUGAGAGCAAAGGAAAUGGCAGUCAGAUUGUUCAGGGGCAGCAACAGUGUACUGAAAAUAGAUCCAGGACCUAAUAAUUUUGGUUACAAAUGUCUUCAAGAUGUAAGGGGAAGAG